CCCAGACACACAUAUUGCAAAAGUUGCUUGCUUCAAGUAACUAAUGUAUUAACAUAUAUUUCUAUAGGCAAAGAGCUAUUUCUUUCCUUUAGGCUGUCUUAGACACUGAUGAAAACAUAAGAACAUCAAGAGCAUCUGUAAAAAUUACAGCUUUAAUGAAACAGAUGAAACAGGCCAUCAAAGGCCCCACUGGCAGACCUUGAUACUGACUGACCUGAGCUUCUGCUGCUGUAGCCCUUCCCAGCUGACCUGCUUCUGUUCCAGCUCCUGGGAGAUCUGCUUGCCAAGACCUGCCCAUACCUCGGCAGUAGGUUUAGUUCUGGAUCAAAUGGCCACCCUGUGUAGCCAUUCUCACCAACAGAAACUAGACAGGCUGAUUAGAUUGAAAAGAGCUGUAGACCACCCUCAAGGCAAAUAGCAAUAUUUCAUGCAACACUCUAAAAAGCCAUCAAUCCACCAGCCCCAAAUUCCACUACCACCCAGUCUGCGUUUCUCCAUCUUAUUUUAUAAGGCUCCAGCAAGGGACCGCUUCAGUUGUCUUUCUGAAAUCCGU
rnacentral:lncRNA from 1 species